CCCCGGGGAGCCCUGGCUUCUCAGGCCUGCCCAGGGCCAGGGCAUCAUCCACAGAGAGGCACUAUGGGCAGAGACAGGUGCCUAUGGUCAGGGAGCUGCCUGCUUCCCUGUGGGGCCCGCACACACUGGUCUCGCCCUCCCUCUCUCCCACCCACCCCUCCAUCAUCACUCUUUCACACACUCCCACCGUCACCACCCUCUCGAUUACACACACACACACACACACACACACACACACAAAAGGGCUCGGGGCAGUGGUCCACCCAUCCCAGGGUGGCUUCUUCCCGGAACCACUGCCAGUUUGAUGGCCUGGGGACUGACGGAGGAGGCGGCCCUGGGAUCCUGGAGCUAUAUGUAUCCGUCACAGCCCCCGAUCCUGGGAGCGCAGGCCUGUCUGAACUCAGAGCAGAGGAAGGUGGGCGCUGGCCUGCAGGCAGGGCCUGAGUGCUUGGCCACCCGGCCUCGCCUCGGCCCGCCUCCUGGAGUUUGCCCAGGCCCUUUGCUUCCAGCCCUGGGGCGGAGCGGGCCUGGGCCGGGGGACCCAUCGGGUGCGGCAAUUACCUUUCCACACGGCCCGUCGGCGCAGUGCACACGGUCCGCCAGUGUAUUUAACAGGCUGCCCAGCACCACACGGUCCAGAACACCCUGGCCCGAGGACAGCAAGGUCAGCAGACGGGUAGGCUGAGCUGCCACCAUGGUCACCAUCAGCACAGACAGCAGCAGCCCCAGCUGGAGUCGAACCAGGACUGUCAUGGUCAUGCUGAGGCCCCUGUGCACUCUGUGCUCUGGGGAGGCCGCUGACGCCAGGGCUGGCUGGGGCUCUCGGGUCGCCUAGGGCCGGACUGGGGCUGGGCUCUGACCCGCCCGAACGCGUGAGGACCUCUCCCAGGUAUUUUUCCUGCAGGGCUCUGUGAUUGGCUGACUGAGGCACCUCAGGUUAACCAUUCCAGCCACAGGUCCUCCCCGAGGUUGGAGCCACUGCCCGUGGGGGGCAAGAGCUGGGCCCCUUCCUCUGCAAGGACAGCCUGGGCAUCUGCUAGCUUGUCUGUGGCUCUGCAGAACUGUGGGGCAGGGCUGCGUUUUCUAUGCCCGAGGGGUAACCCUCUCUCUAAGGUCUGCCGCCAACAAGGGGGGCCUGGGCCAGAGGUCCCCAACACUCCACCUGAGAGGCCUGAACACACCCCUGCCCCACUCCCCUCUCAGCCCCUUCCCUGCUUGGCUUCCUUGGUUCAGGCAGCUUAGACACCCUCACCCCACCCUUAGCCUUAGGUCCCAGUUGGGGGUGGGGAGGUGGGGCCCUCUUCUCCCAUGCGUUGGGGAGUCGUCCUCCCCUUCCCAAACUCUGGGGAAAACACCUGAGGAAAUGGCCAAAUCCCCACAGGACGCAAGGGGAGCCCACUGGGCCUUCUGCUUGCUGCCUCCUGGCAGAGGUCUCUUGGGCUUUCCUGGCAGGAUCCCAAGCUCCAGGCCCAGGGGCUCCAGGGAGGGCUGUGACUGCCAGCUCUGCACCCGCCCCUCCCUGUUGGCUCCGUCUCUGGCCUUUGAACCUCUUGGCUUAUCUCUGCCUGGUUGGCAGGGGAGGGGCAGGCCCCAGGGAGCCAGCUCGCACCCCUGGCCAGGUCUCAGGGCAGCCUUUGUGGGUUUUUUUUUUGCUUCCUGGAGGGAGUGUGUGGGCGUCCCCUUCCCCACCUGGUUCAGCUGGCCACUGACCCUGAGCCCUGUGAGGUGUGGUUGGGAUGGAAGAGGUGAAGCCCUGGGGCAGCUGGGAGCCAAGGCCCAAGGGACUCUGUCCCCAGAGUCCCGUGGGCCCAGGGCAGGGCAUCACGCUGAGGGCAGAGUCCUGGGCCUGAGGUCGCCCCCGCCCCCCCACACAUUCAUGCUGGAUGGCACCACAGUGUGAUACCCCUGGGUCCUAAGAAGGGGCUGGGGCAGAGGAGAUAGGAAGAGCCUGACAGGGAUUUGGAUGAUUCUUGGAACCCUGAGUCAGCAAGGAGGGAAGCUGGAGAGAUUCAGGCACUCUGGAGACUGUAGGCACAAACUGGCCUUUUUCCUACCCCACUGCACCAGGACCACGGGGCUGGCUGCAGCAGGAACUGGGGACCUGGCUGCUGCCUCAGGCCACCCACUGCUCAAGGGUCUAUUACUUCUGGGCAAAGAUCUCAGACCAGCCUUCUAGGCUGGCCUUCCCAGGUCCCUGGGCUGAGGGGCAGAAUUGCGUGAGCCAUUGAGGCUUGUGGCUGGCACUCCCUGGGGCAGCCCCUUUGACCUCAGGAACUUCAUGCUGGCCCAUAUUCCUUUGCUUCACGCACCCUCCACCUCUCCCAGCAGAUGCCCUCCAUCCCAGCCCAGAGCGGCCGCAGAAGGCAUCACCAGUGCCCCUGCACAUCUGACUGCCCCCUCCCUGGUGCUGGGGUCACCCUCUGGGUGCUGCACCCUCUCUUGUGUCCCUGGGCCCUUCCUACACCAUCCCAUCAUCCAACACGCACACUGCAGUCCCUCCUGUCUUCAGACACACCUGUGUCCAUAGCAGCACUAGUUCAACCUCCAAAACCCAGAAACAACCCAGGUGUCCACUGAAGGAUGGAUGGAUGAAUGAAAUACGGUCUAUGUAAUAUAACGGGAACCCUGGCAGGCUCUUCCUAUCUCCUCUGCCCCAGGCCCUCCUUAGGACCCAGGGAUAUCACACUGUGGUGCCAUCCAGCAUGAAUGGGGGGUGGGGGGAGGGCGAACUCAGCCUUAAAAAGGAAGGAAACUUAGGGGCAUCUGGCAGGCUCAGUUGGUACAGCCUGUGACUCUUGAUCUCAGUGUCGUGAAUUCAAGCGCCACAUUGGGGAUAGCACUUUAAAAAAUUUUUGACACAUGUACAACAUGAAUAAGCCAAUCGCAAAAAAAUAAACCCUGUAUGACUCCACUUGUAGGAGGCACCUAGUCAAAAUCUAGGGACAGAAGGCAGGAUGGUGGCGGCCAGGGGCUGGGGAAGGGGAACGGGGAGCUAGUGUUUACUGAGGACAGUUUCUGUCUGGAUGUGGUGAUCGCUGUACAGCAUUCUUAGUGUACUUCAUGCCGCUGAGCUUUAAAAUGUUUAAAAUGGUCGGGGCGCCUGGCUGGCUCAGUCGGUAAAGCGUGUGGCUCUUGAUCCCAGGGUUGUGGAGUUCAAGCCCCACAAAAAAAAAAUAAAAUCUUUACCAAAAAAGGCAAAUUUUAUGUUGCGCUUAAUUACAAUAAAAAGAAAAAACCGUAUCGACCAAAACAACCUCCGUUGCCCCUUCAGCUGCCAUCGACAUCAGGAUCUGGGGUCUCUGGCACUGGCAGUCUCUUCCAGGCUCCCCUGAAGCCCCCCCCACCCCAAUCCUGUCAAAGUCCCCGAGGGCUCCCCAGGCCUCUUAGUGGCGAGUUUCCCCAUCUCAGUCUGCCCUGGACCCAGCUGCCUGUCCGCGGCUAGGGCGUCUCUGGGUUUCCUUGGCCCCAGCCAUCCCUUCUUCCGCUCCUUUGUGGUGUUUCUAUCCCCAACCUCCAACUGUGACAGUACCAGUCCCAGGGCCUCUUGGGUACAGUUCCUGGCACCUAUCAGAGUGAGUUUUUGCCAUGGAGCUAAAAAGCCUUCAUCGUGUUCACUUCCUUCAUUCUGAAACUCCAGCUUCUGAUGUCCAGCCACCCACCUGAUGCCCUUGGCCAGCUGACACAAUUAGAUUCCGCCUGUGCCGACAGCUCUGGCCACACCCUCACGGAGCCCCUCUGGGUGCAGGUGUCCACAUGUCCACAGGAGCUCCUCUGUCUAGCUGUUCUAGUGCAAGGCCUGGGUGUUCACUGCACACCGCAUCCAGCCCAGCAGCAAACACUGUGGGUGUGACACACAGCACGGCCCACACCCAGAACCGAAGGACCCUUCUCUGCCCCCCCAGCCCCCACCGGGCCAGGCCCCCCAUGCCAGUCGCCGCUCUCUGCUGUCUUUCCCUACUAAGACCCAAAGGACACGGGGCACGCCUCCGCUCUGAGGCCCCUGCUGGCAUCCAGGGCUCCAGGUACAAUCCCAAGUCCUCACCUGGCCUCUCUGCCCCCCUUCUGCCAAAUGGCUCUCUACUCCUCUCUUCCUUGCCGACUCUGCUAUCCUUGACCGCCUGCCCCGUGCAAAAUGGCACCUCCCCAACUGGCAGCCAGUUCACACACAGACUUUAUCACCAUCCGAAACACUACACACCUUACUUGAUUGCCUUUAAUGCUACAGACAUCCAGAAGUACUACUAGGAAAAAGGAAUGCUACAAUUAAGCUCUAGCCUGUCCCUCAUCCCAGUGCCGUAGUUGCCAAAACGUGACCCGAUGCACCCCGGGAUCCAGAGCCUUGGUCUGUGGCUUGCUGCCAGCUGCCUGUGAGGAGGUGGCUGUGACGCCGGGGGCCAGGGCUUCUGCAGGGUUGACAGCCCCUGGCCUCGCAGCAGGUGCAGUAAACACUGGUAACUGAGCCAGCAUCGGCCCGUGAACACCCGUGUCCCCACCCGAGGACCGUUGCUUCCCCCACCUGACCUUGCUCCCGAGCAAGGGACACCCUCUGUGGUGGGCAGGACAAACUGUCUGUCCCGUGAGUCAUCUACUGGGGCCCCGGUGAACCACUACAAGGACAAGGCCCUGCGCUGGCCUGUGGCGUCCCCCAGGGCAGGGAGAGGUACCGGGGGCAGCACAGCAGUGUUCCGGCCCCCCAGCUGCUUAGAGCUCUCAGGUGAAGGGUGGGGAAGCGGAUGUGAAAGGCAGCCUCCUCUGUGGUCAGAUUCAAGCCUUACCUGGCCCCUGCUCCCAAUCACCCAGGGAAGCUGGCGUCAGACCCUUUCCUGAGGAACGGGCCGCACAUUCAGAGCCUCUGUGCUCCAGCGAGGCAGGAUCCCACCCGGGGCCCAGAGGGAAGACAAAAAGGCAGGGCAGGCCCGGCUGGGGGAGGGCAGCCACAGCAGGCAUGGGGGGUGAGAAAGCAUCUUUAUUGUGGGGAGGGCAGGGAGAGAGCUCUGGGGUGGACGGACACACAGACGGAGGAGCUGCUAUGAACGGCAAGGCGCAUGCAGACCGCCCAGGGGUCGAGCGUGGAGCGCAGCUGCAGCCCCUCCACCGGGCCCACCGGAGAGCCUUCCUCCCCAGACCCCGGGACAGGGGGCCUCAGGCGUGCAGGAAGCGGUUGAAGGCGUUGUAGGCCGACUCCAGGUCAAAGAGCAUCUGGCGCACCUGGGAGUCAUCUAGCUCAUCAGAGGCCGACAUGCCGCUCAGGGUCUGCAGCCUGUGGGAGCACAGCACUGAGGUGUGUGCACGGGAGGGGCUUCUCGGUCCUUGGCGGGGCAGGGAAGUCUCGGGCAGGGAUGCUCACCACUGGCUGACGGUCUGGCGGCCCUCGAAGUCGGGGGGCAGGUGGCUCAUGCGGUGCAUGGUCUCCAUCAGCUCCCGCAGAUCAGGCUGGAUCUGUGGACAGGACGCUCGGCUUCCUCUGCCAGGAACCCUCUCCUACCCCCGCCCCUGCCACUCCCUUCUCCAAGCCACCCCUCCCUCCCUCCGUCCCCUCCGGGAGCCGCACCUCAUCCAUGGCACGGAUCUCCAGGCGCAGUUUGUCCAUAACCGUGAUGAAGAGCUGGGAAGAAGUGUGUGUGUGAGGUACCACAGACCCGCCGUAGGGGCUCAGGGUGGGGGACUCCUUGCAGCUCGCGGGCCUGGUUCCUCUGCGGGGCCAGGCCCAGGUCAGCCCCCACCCAGCCCGUCUGGCCCGUUGUCUCCCUCCUCGGCCUCUCUCCUUGGCUAUCUGGUCACUGGGUCCCUGCUGGACCCCCCUGUUCCCAUAGCCCAUGAGCUCUCCUCUAUGCCACCUGGCCCACAGGGUUUUGGCUAGGCCUCCUGGAGCUGUGGGCGCAUGGGAACCCUGGCUGCACUGACCCUCGGUGCCUCCCACAGGGGUCUCUCUUGGAUGCUGCCCAGGGAGAAGGUCCUGCCCACCCCUCAUUCCUAACUAUGAAGACCCCCUCCCGGUGUGUGUGAGGGCUGCGCAGCCCUGGGAGCCCCGGGCUCCUGUGUACACGGUGGCCACGGCAGGCAGCGUUGGCCCCCCUGACCUCUCGUAGGCCCCCGAGGCCGCAGGAGCCCCUCUGGCCCCUCAUAGCUCCCCGAGGCCGCGGGAGCGCACCGAGACCACGUCUGCAAUGCAGCGGUUCAGGUUGCCCUUGUCAUCUUUGAUGGUGAUAGGACGGUCCUCUUUGAUCCUCUCCAUGGCGAGUGGGCAGUCCAGCUGAGGGAGGGCGGGUACCAUGGGUACUGGGCCUCAUGGGGCAGGUGGCCAGACCCUCCCCAACAGCACCCACACCUCCCGCCUGCUGUUCCCCGGGAAAUGGAGGGGCCAGCUCACUCACACGGAACUUGCGGCAGAAUUCAUCAAUGGAGCUGAUUUCUGCGCCCUGAACCUGCCGGAAGGCGGCUUUGUACUGGACCAGGAGCCGAGAACAGGCUGCAGUGUACCUAGGGAGAGGGCCAGGCUGCUGCCCUCAGUACAGGCCAGCCCUGCCCACACCUCCUCCCUCUCUCGGCCCAUCCAGACACAGGGCAGCUCUCAGAGAGAUCAGAGAUGGGCCACGAAGGCUGAGGCUUCCCUUGGAGUCUAAAUACAAGACCUUGGGAGGACAGUAAGCAGAAGAGGGAAGUGGCCCAAAUAUGGCUGGCUGCCACACGGGAUGAGCCCAGACCCAGGCAGAAGCCUGGCCAGCCCCCUCUUCUGGAAUACACUGGCCACACCUCCACAUCGACAGCUUGUGGACCUACAAGGCAGGCCUAUCUCACUGAACAAAGGCCCCGUGUAUCUCCUAAGUGCCAGGCCUGGCCAACAGCGCCUCACAUGCUGAUCUCCCUGACCCUUCUGCUUGCCUUCUGAAGCCCUUUUGUCAAUGAGGACAUCUGUGCCCAGGGAGAGCCCCCGGCACAGGGGGAACCCCCGACCAAGGUGGUAGACAGGUCUCUCCUCCUGAGACACUUCUGUACCACGACUAGGACUUCCUGGCUGAGACGGUGCCAAAGCCACAAGCACCCAGGGGCAGCCUCCUUGUGCUGGGUGGUUCCCACAGGAGUGGACCCCUCACAGCCUGGAGGAGGCAGGAUCCAUACGAAUCCCCGGCUCAGGCCUCAGACCCCUGCUCUUGCUUCCUCCUGAGCACCCAUGCCCUGGAAGGCAGAAACAAGCUUCCACAGACUGGCUCUUAUCACCGGUGCAAGGUCAGUGGGCUCUCACUCGUUGGGGGUGACGCAGUCCUUGAUGUAUGCCUUCUCCAGAGCCUGCAUUGUCUUCACAACCGCAAACAGCUCCGCCAUGUUGUCAUACCUGAGGAUAGUGUGUCCAUCAGGCCACGGCUACCAAAGCCCAGGGAGGGCACUAGCCCUCCCAGGUGAAGCUGUGGCAGAGCUCUGCAUUUCAGCGGCCUCUCCCCCCCUGCCCCAACAGAGGCUCCUUGGGAACUGUUUCGCCAGCCUGACCCCAGAAUGGGGGUGGUCCAGAGGUUGGGGGAAGUUACUCAGGGGAGGCAGGUGAACAUGGUAUGUGUGUGUGUGUGUGUGUGUGUGUGUGUGUGUGUGUGUGUGUGUGAGAGUGUGUGUGUUGGGUGGGGGCAGUCCAGGGGCGGGACUCACUUCUCCCGUUCCCGGGCGUUCUUGUACAGCUUCACCUCCUAUUGGAGAGAGGACAGCGUGUCAGCCCAUGGUACCAGGGUGGCUGCGGGGUCUAGGUGAGGCUCACACAGGCGCUGGCCAAUGCUGGCCAGGUGGACAUCUGCCACUCACCUCAUAUAGCUCCGGCUUGUUUCCAGGGGCUGCAACAGAGCAGAGAGCUAGCAAGCUGGCCGCAAAGGCAACCCCAGGGGGCUUGUCCACUGGCCCUAAUCCCAGCCCCAUUUCAUUAGCCCACCCAAGGCCUCACCCUGUGAAACAUCCCAAAGAGCCCAGAGGGAACUGGAAGACAGAAUUCUACUCCCAGCACCCCGCCUCCUUGUCGCGGGGUGGGGGACCUGAGCACACGACACUCCUCUGGAGCCAGGGAGACACAUGCCAGGCCUGGCUCCUCAUUCCACUGCUGCUCCUCAGUUACCUCACUCUAUAGCAGGGUCACCACACCUUGCUUACGGUGCAGGGACAGGGCACAAAUGAUGUUUGUCACAUGCUUUGUGACCUUUCCCCUGGCUUGACUCCAGGAUACCCAGGACCCCCUGAGGUUCCAGCCACACUAAAGCUCUUAUCUUUGUGCCAAGUGGGUCCCACCUGGAGGUCAUCUCUGGGCCCCCUGGUGAUAAACUGCACCAGUCCCUAGCUGCCCACUGAGGCUUGUAUGGGGGAGACACUUAUAGCUCCUCCCCCACCCCCCCAACCCUUGGCCUCUGCAGCAGGGCCUGAAAGCCUGGACCCUCUGGGUCCCUGGGUCCAGCUUGGGCCACACUCACCUCCCAUGCCUGGAGUGGCUGGGAUCCCGUGAAACAUCUUGUAGGGCUCAGGGGGCCACAGCAGAGACCUGGGGAGUAGAGCCAAUGCCAAAUCAAAGGUGACCCCUAACACCCCUGGGUCUCAUGUGCUGGACCUCAUGAAGAGCUUCCCUGCCCUCAGCAGAGUCAGAGUCAGACGAGAGAUAGCUGAGAUAGGGGAACUGAAGAACUUCACGAAUAUCUGCUUUUUUACUUCCUAUUCUGCUUUUAUUCUAGCUAGCACCUGUACCCCUGCCUUAUAGCACAAACGAUGUAUGUCUACCUUGUAAAGGUCAAGAAGUUAAUAAUUUCUUUGGAGUCAGCACAGUAGAUAACAUCUGAAGAGUGACCGGCCAAGGCUGUCCUGUGCAUAUUCCAGGCCAUUGCCAUGGGACUUUAGACAUCUUGAUGUCAAGACCCCCAGGAUAUGUCUUUGUCCUGACCAAUGUCUGGAUGCCUGAGAGGACAUAACCCUCAAUAAAAACUCCUGACCCCAAUCAGAGACUCACUAUUCUUUGCUUUCCGAAUUUCCCAGAUGCUCCCUCUGCUAUGCUCUGUCAGUUAUGCUAUUCAAUAAACUCUGUUCUCACUUCCUUCAGGCUCACAUUUGAUUUCUAACCUGUGUGAAGGUAAGGACCCUCUUGGCUGGUCCAGCAGGGACCCCCUCUGAGCCCCUGGACCUGGCCUGCCUACAUCAUAGUGAUGAACACACAAGGUGUUAUGUGCUGUGGUGAGAACACCAGUUCUGCCCUAGAGACUGUCAGGAGGAAGUGGGUGCUGAGGAGCCUCUCAGGAGAGGAGAGACCAGUGGCGAGGGGUGGGGGCGCACUGAAGGAUGCAAGGCAGAAGAUAAGAAGGUGGCAAGUUUCAGAAGACCAGGGGAGGAGCAUUUGGGCAGAGAGAAAAGCGUAAAUAACACAAGGCCUUUCAGAGGAAUGCAGUGAGAGGGAUAGACAAGCGGGGGACAGAGCUUUCCGAAUGAGGAUGGAGGCGGAACCAAGGUACACAGCUCUGGCGAUCAGAACUGAGUUUUAUACUAACGCAGCGGGACUGACAGAUUAAACAUCAGCUCUUGGGGCUCCCAGGGGGGAAGUGGGCUGAGAAAGAACAAAAGCAUGAGGCCGCUGGGAGGGUCCUGCCCACUCAGGUAGUUGAUGCAGUGCCUAGAGUCAGUUUCAGCCAUGCUUUGGACGUGAAACCAAACCCACCGAAGAAGUAUUUGAAACAGAAUGUUAGUUGAAAAGGAAUCAAGAACAAGUCCCCUAUUUCUGGCCCAAUGACAGUCACGUGAGCUGAGUCGGAAGAGAUGGAAAAGGAGCAGGCUCCCAGGAACGCUCGCCCUGGCGCUGCUGUGUGGGGUUCCAGAGGCUCCACAGUCAUCCAGGGUGUGCUGAGGCAGUUCAGGCCAGAGGAGAGGCCAGACUAGCUAGCACCGCUGACGCCUGACACUGGGGGUAGGUGGCGUCCCACAGGGGACGAUUAACAGGGGAACGAAGAGAGAAAGCAGCCCAGGCUGGAGCCCUAGGGUACCCAGGGAUCAGAGGGACCAGAGGGAAAGGGUUAAGGAGCACGUCUCCGAGGGAGGGAUCUUGUCAGGGAAGGCAGAUGCAUUACAGAAGUCCAGCGGGUGGCAGCUGGGAGACUACUCAGCAACCCGUCCCGAGCUUCUAAGAGGGGGUGCCCGGGCGGAGAGGACUGAAGAGUGGAGAAAUAAAGAAAGCACCUGCAGUUCUACGGUGGGAUUCCACUCUGUCGCGAAAACGAAUGUCCCCUAGCUACAAACGAACAUAUAGCUAAAUCUCAGAGGCCGGACACUGAACCGAAAAGCGAGUUUCUAGAUAAUGCCCACAUUUGACUGUGUAGAUGCCGCCCAGGCUGCCCCCGGGUCCAAGCGAGCAAUGAGGCGCCCCGAGUGGGGCGGACCGUGGGGGUGAGGCCCGACCGGAUGCGGAGGGUGCACGCGGGGUCCGCGUGGGGCUCGGGACGGACCGGCACCCGCGGGACACAACCGGGGCUCCUGCCCGCUGGGAACGCCGCUCUCAGGGGCGUCAGACCCGGGGAAAUGGCUUCGCAACGCCGGGCGGGGCCGGGACUAAAGAGACUACCCCAAGAUGAGGAACGAGGUGCCUGGGCGCGAGGGGGACCCUGUGCGACAAGACGACGCGCACGGACCUAGCCCAGCGGCCUUUUCCCAUCCGGUUCAGCUGGCCCUUCCUAGUUCGCCCCACCCGGCCCGGGGUACCUGCGCUCGCUCUGCCGGUCGGGGGGGACCCGCGGCGCCGCGCUCCCAAUCGACCGCUCGGCGCUCUCUUUGACGUUUGCGCCUGCGCACGCAUUUACCCCUGGCUCCCGCAAUCUACGCUCGAUCACCAAGGUCUGCCCCUGAGCACACCUCCCUCCCAAUCGACUACCACCAUGACGUCUGCGCCUGCGCACCCGGAAAUGGGCGCGUCCCGACUCCUGGCCACGCCCGCGGCCGUACAACCCACAGACGGGAAGGGGCUCCGGGAAAGGAGACUGCCCUCUCCGCGUAACCACCAAAUGACCAGAGCUGCCCCCAGUUCCAGCGGGCUCUCAGCUCCCCUACAGCAAAGUGAACCCCCGCUUUCCCCCUCCCACCCGCCUUCCAGGCAGCAGCGGGGGUGGAGGCAGCAGCGGCGAUCGUUUAUUUGAGGCGAGGGUGGGUUGCAGGGCAAGGGCAGCGCCGCCUGUCAGAGGCGCCGGUAGAAGAGCUGGGGCCCUCGGUCCAGUGUGCGCGCACUUCCAGGCUGGCCGGGCAGCAGCUGGCGCAGGGCGUCACGGUCCUCGGUGGAGAGGCGUCUGCUGCACAGCUGCAGCUCCUGGAGCUGCGUAGUGAUCCUGUCCCAGAGGCCCAGGCCCAGGGGGCCCUGGACAGCACAGCCUGCAGGGGGGGAGGGGGGAGCUGGUCUCAGGGAGCAGGCCCCAGCGAGGUAGACGGGGAAAUCCCGCAGGAGCCAGUGGCGUUCGCAGUACACCUAUGGAACUCCCAGGCCUGUGUUCUUUUCUACCAACGUGGUCCUCAGGAAGAGGCCACUUCCCCUGAGCCCCAGGGGCUACAACCAGGUGCUUGGGCAGAUGCCCAGGAGAGGCCCACUAACACCCUAGGAAGGCGUGCGUGCUUCCAGAGAGGCCACCCGGUCCGUGGGCUCCUUUCAUAGCCAGUAGGCAGGCAGGAGGGAGACUGGCUAAAAUAAAUGCUGCAAUCACAUCUGUGCCUCUGACAGUUUCUAUGACAAUGCCUGGGGUCUUUCCAUCUGUAAAAUGGACACUAUAGGAAUGCCUAUGGGUCUUAAAGAGGACAGACACUAAGCUGUCAAGGUUUGAUCUCCAGGGAGGCCAGAGUGCCCAACAGGCUCAGGACCCUAGGGAGCUAGGGGAGAGGACAGGUACAGAUGCCAGGUGUGUGGGAAGCAGCCCCUUAGCUGUGUGCAGAUAUCCCACCAGCUUGCCUUCAGGGCUGCCUUCUUGGAGGAGCCGGCUUGGCCUCGUCGGGUGGGAGUGAGGAGCAGGAGGAACCCAGGGGUUCCCUAUGUACACACCCACUCCUAGUCCUUAUCCUCCUAGAGGGCAAAGCCUGGUACUCUCCUGCCCCAAGCCCUGGCUGGAUGUGUCAGGCUAUUGGGUGGCCAGUUUACCAAAUUAAUGUCUCCUGGGGUCAUCGUCAAGGCAGCUCUGGUAGGGUACUGUGCCUGGGUGUGGCCAAAAUGAGAAUACACAGGCUGGGAAGGUAGAGUCAGGGCAGGCCCUGCCUGCAAGUGGGAAAAUCCCUCGGUGGCAAGUUUUUGCCAUCCUGAUCUUGAGCUCUGUCUUUUUGCCAAUGGUAAUUAGGAAAUCCUUGUGAAAGGGGACCCACCCCCGUCCCCCUACCCCAGUCACCAUGGUCUCUGAGGUUCAGGCUGAACAGGCCAAAGGCAAAGCCCCCAUGGUCCUCCCUGCCCUGUGUUAGGAACCGGGCUUAUACCCCCUUCCAGUCACACUGGUCACUGUUCCCCACUCACUGUAUCUAACUAAAGGAGCCCAGCCCACCUUUGCCAUCUGGCUGGUAGCAGUGACAGCCCAUUUAGAGGAAGCACCAGGGCUUCGGGUAGGUCCCCAAGCUCACCUGACAGGCCAAGGAAACUGAGGCCUUGGGGCCGCACCUGGAGGGCAGACAGGAGCUCCUCCAGGCCAACACGGCCAAUCUCAGGGUUGGCAGACAGGUCCAGUGAAAUGAGUGAGGGGCAAAGAGGAAGGCAUCUAAGACAACAAGGGAAGAGAUAAAGGGGUCAGCCUCUAGGGAGGGAGGCCCCCAGUACCGCAGAAAGCUGCCCCAGACAAACCACAGCUCUGGGAGCCAUAGGCCAGGCCCUAUAGGCUCUGCCCCAGUAUGCACGGGUGCAAGUACUUCUCUAGGGCCAGCUGGACACUGCCAAGGGCCAGGACCAUAGUGACCAGGCCCGGGUAUAUGCCUCCCUGGCUUGGGUGCCCAACACCGCCAAGAGCCAGCUGAGGCUGGAGGGUCAUGAGUGGCCCCGGUAUGGGCUGCUACAACAAAGGGUAAUGGGAAAGGCUGUCAGGAGCCUCAGGAGUACGGGAAGAAGAAACACAAGGAGGCAGGCUUGAAAGCUGGAAGGAGUGAGGGGAAGAAGCUGUUACUACCAGUUGUUACUACCAGGGCCUCAGGUAGGUCCCCAAGCUCACCUCCCUUCCCUGCCCAACCCAGCGCUCCAGGGUACUGGGACUUGAGAUCAGACUCCCUCAGAAUAGUGCAGGAGUGGGUGGCACAGCAUUACCUGCUCAGUUCUCUCACCGCCUUGUCGCCCAGGUGGUUUGCAGACAGGCUCAAGUGAGUCAGAGCACAGCCUUCCUAGACACAGCAGAGGCCCAAAAGGAGUAGGGUUGAGUGGGGCACCUACCCUCUCUGCCUCCCAGUAGAGGACCCAAACCCAGGUCAGAUACCUUCCUUCCUCCUCAGAAACAAGGGGCCAAAGACUGCCUGACCCCCAAGGCACCAGAGGGGAGCAGCAUCCCUUCAAUGUGAAAAUCAAAAGGAAACGCCUCCCCUUCUAAGUCAUACCCGACAUGUGAAAAUCACAGGGAUCAGCCCCACAUGGAAGAGUCAGGGGAGAGAGCCCUAGGAAGCCUGGCCAGACCUUGGGAUCUGCCUGGGGUCCCAGGCACCUUUCCUGCCGGCCAGGAAUUCACAGCCCGAGGCAGGCAGCUCUCCCAAAAGCUUCACCCACAGCUGUUCUUUCUGGACCUGCAACCCUCUUCCCAGGCUGCUCCUACCCCUGCCAGGUCUCAGGUGCGGAACUGUAGCCCGGACAGCCCAGCCUGGCUUUGCCAUGGCACCCCCCGCCCCCACCCCUCUCCCACCAGCCGCAUACAUACCCUAGUCAGGAAUCUGACCACAGGCUCCACGAGGUCGGAGUCACUCUUGCCAGCUGCCACAGAGCUAAGCUCCAGGCGCUGGAGGGUGUGAGCGGGCAGGCUCUGCAGGGCCUGGGCCAAGGCACUGGCGCCCAGGAUGUUGUAGGACAGAGACAGUGUCUUCAGGUGCUUGGCAUCUGCACGGGGGACCAGAACCACUGUCAGCCACACACGGUCACCAACCCAGCCCAGCUGCAGUCCUAGGCCCAACACCUUCAUGAUCCCUCUGGGGAAGCUAUCAUCCCUGAGAUUUUGUGCAUGCAGAACUGAGGGAACUCCCACCUGGGGUUUCCCAGGCAGGGAGGGGACAGGGCCAGACUCCUGAGCCCACCCUCUUCCCACCAUCUCUGGGCUACCUGCCUCCCCCAGCCCAAGCCAGGACGGAGUACCUGAGCCAGGCCCUGGGCCAGGGUGUCUGUGAAUGAUGGGGUGGGGUUGGAGAGCACCUCCUGCUGCCCUAAUCCCAGCCUCUCCUCUGCUGUUGCUCUCACAUCCCCAAGCCCCACUUCCUAGCCCACCACUUCUGCAGAAAGGCCCCCUGGAGGACUCCUAGUUCCCAGUCUCUCAGUACUGGGACCACCGCUCUCCGCGGCCUCGGUGUCCGUGGUGGGAUCAUCUAAGGCAAACGGAACGCUAAGAGCCGGUGAGAAUAGGGAGACAGGGACAGCGGCCCAUGGCACGUCCUAGGGGAAUGACCCGAGCCCAGGAAGACCUAGCACAUCCACCUAUGUGCUCCUAGACACCACGCCUGGUCGCCCGGGGCCCCUCUUGCUCAAGGCUCUCUGUGCCCCUGGACAUGCCCUUCUGAUGGCAACUGGAACCCUGGGGCCAGGGAGUGGACGUGCCCAUCAGCUCACCUUGGAAGGCACUACCUAGGGCUGCCUGGUGGCUCAGGAAGAAGCUGGGGCCAAAGCCACAGGCCUGGAGAUGCAAGGUACUGAGUGAGGGGCAGGCUUGCAGGAUGAAUGCCAGGGCCUGACCACUGCCAUCCCCGAGAGGGUUCAUGCUUAAGUCCAGCUCCUCCAAGUUCUGUGGAAGACAUGGGCCCCCUGGAGAAUCUGGUCUCCUUGCCAUCCCAGAGCUGGGCAGAGGUCAGCACUCGCCACUGCACCUUCCCACCCAACGACGGGCUGAUGGCAAACGUUCUGAUGCCGCCCUGUUGCCAGCCUGCUGCUCCCCACGCCUCUACCUGCAAGGUGGUCUGCCCCAGGAGGCCUGUGGCAAGCUGGCGUAGGCCUUCAGGGCCCAGGUGAUUGGAAGAGAGAUCGAGGAGAAUCAGGCCAGGCAUGGUGCCCAGGGCGGCCAGCAGCUCAGCAGCACAUCCAUCCCCCAGCCGGUUCCCUGCCAGGUGCAGCUCCCGGAGAGCCGCGUGCAGCUUCAGGGCCCGCAGCAGUGGGGUGAGCUGGGUCUGGCGCAGGGCCAGGGAGCAGGCGCUGAAUGAGGGGCCCGAGCCCUGGCACUCCAUGGCCUGGAGCACCUCCUGGUGCUCCUCUGGAGGGGGGGGAUAUAGCGUCACCAGGACCAGAACCCGCCGUUCUGCCCUGGGAAUCUUGGGGGGUCAAACCAAACAUCUCCCUCCUCACUCAUGAGCCCUGGGACACCCCAGAGGUGCUGCAGAGCCCAAUCCCACAAGCCUGUGGGCCCAGCAUCACUUGAGCCCCCACGCAUGGCUGGUGGGUGGGGUUGUCCCUUCUCUGACUUGUCAGGUCCUCUCGGCAGGGCUCCAACCUCUGUCACCGCCGUAUCUCAGGGCCCAAGGCAAGCUCCCUUGGAGAGCCACCCUGGACCUACCCUUCAGUGGCUCUGGUGACUCUAUGCCAUCCCGCCUCCCACAGGGCCAGUGUUGGGGAACACCCACAUGUGUGGGCACUGGGCAGAGGAGGAAAACCUGAGGCCAGAUGUCGGGGGGAGGGUGCCUCAGUGGAUAUCUAGGGCUCUGGGACAUUAGGCCCACAGACCUGGGGGUGGCACAGGAAAGUGGACCAUGAACACCCAGCCCCUCUGCCCAGGCCACUUGAGGCUCUCCUGGGCUCCUACCUUGCUGCAGGCUCUGGCAGGCCCUGCGGUAGCGGUCAGCCAGCGGGGGGAGGUCCCACGAAGUCACCUCAGCCAAUACCUGCAAAGCACCGUCACUAAACAGCCCCGGGGGCCCCCCACGCUGGGGGCUCUCCUGUGCUCAGGGCCCAGGCUCCUACCACUCACCUCCUCGUUGCUCUGUAGCACAUCAGGGAUGGGGUCCUGUGGGGCCAGCAAGGCUCCCUCCUUUCGCAAGACGAGCCUCGGCAGCAGCCCACAGGCCUGGCAGUAGCGCUGGGCAGCCUGAUCAGCCAGCCAGGCCACAGAGUGGACCUCCCUGCUGCAGGGACAAAGGGGAAGCUGAGCUGGCCGGGUCCCUGCACACACUGAGGAAAAGCCCCUGGGGUCCUGCCAUCUCUAGGUCUAUAGCUCUUCUGUCUGGCUCCCUCCCCUCCCCUCCCGCUGCCCCUGCCCAGGACAUGCCCGUGCUCUCUGCAGCUCUUCCACGCUUUUCCUAGGGGCCACGGGGCCUGGCCUAACCACUCCAGUGCCCUGUCUGUGCUCCUGCGGGGCACUCUUGCCCUGGCCUGCAACCUCACGUCAGCCAUGGAAGGGCCCCUGGACAGCAAGGUGACGCAAGUCAAAGUAAGCCCUUGUGACCCGCGCCAUCUGAUCUGCAAACGUGAGGGUUCUCCCAGGGGUGCCGGGGAAGCUGGGACUCGGAGGGCACGUGACGCCUUACCUGUGUGGGACGGGGAUGAGGAAAAGACUGUCCUGAACUCGCACUCGCACCCGGAUGGGAGGGGGCAAAGACGGACCCUGCUGGGUGGGGGCAGGGCACAACAGCCUCAGUCAGAAAACACAGCCGUCUAGCCUCACUGCCCCCACCGCCCCCACCCAGGGAGUGCACCCACCGAGGGCUGGCCCGCCACAGGACUCUUCUCCCCACUGGGCCCCGAGGCCCUGGAGACAUCCGGGCUCCACGGAGGCUCUGCAGCCGAGCUUCCGUCUCCACCUGCCCUGACCAGUGCACCGCAACUCCUGAGACGGGGCAGCCGGCUCUGCCUGGCCCGGGCCCGGGGCCUGCUGGAGCUCUUGUUGCCUGACCCCGAGGCACUACGACCAGUACUGUCACCACUGCCUGGGGAGCGGGGCAGAUGGCCAUCCUGGCGGCUGUGGAGCAGUGGUGAGUCGUCCUCCAGCCAGUCUGAGGCCAGACACUCCUCUUCAGGGAUGAGCGCUGGCCGUUGCAGGGUGGCCUCGCCUGGACCCCAAGGUGGGCCGGACCCCAGGUGGCAGCUCUGGGCACUGCCCACGCCUCGGACGCCCACCCAGGGAGCACUCGCUGCCGCCGCCUCCCGGUUGCUGGUGGAUCCGGGCGUCCAGGCUUUGUCCUGUUGUGGCUGGACAGAAUGCCGGGGCCUCUUCUGGUUCGGUCGGGUGGGGCCUGGGUUGUCCUCACCCUCUGAGCUGCUACUGCUGGCCAGUUUGUGCCUGCUCCUCCGAGGCCUGGUCACAGCUGGAACUGUCUGCCCCAGAGAGACCCUGGCACGAGCCUGAGAGGUCUCUGGGGGUCCUGGGCAGGGGCUCGAGGGAGGAGAGACCUCAGGGUCAAACAGCUGGUUACGUGGAAGAGCGUGGGGAGCCUGGGAGCCGUGGGGAGCUGUGGGGGGAUAGAAUCUCGUGUGAGGCAGCGUCCAUCACUACCCAACCACCCAUGCUAAGACGUCACUUGGAAUCAGGGCCUGGGGCACUCUCAGGUCAGGGAGAGCCGUCCCCAGGGGCAGACGGUCUGUACUUGCCUCGGCCUGAGGGGGCCGCCCGGAGCAGCCUCUCCAUGGCACCAGCCUUCUCUCGGGUUUCGCUGUCCAGAUCCUUGCCAUACAGCUUCACCCACUGCUGCAGUGUCUCCAGCGGGCUGUGCCCCUGCGUGGCGGUUGGCUGAGCAGGGCCGGCAGGAGCACCCCACCCGCCACGGCCUGGCCUGUACCCCCACUCACCUUCGUGGUUCGGAGUGUGACUGACGCUCCCCGUUCAAUGAGCAGUUCAGCCACCUCGAAGUGGCCGCAGUUGAGGGCAUCGUGCAGAGGGGUGAUGCCUUCACAGCCCUGGCCGCCUGGGUCAUCUACCACAGCCCCGUGGUCCAGCAGGAAGCGGACAAUGUCUGUGGGCCAGGAGAUGUGAGCUAGCUCCCAGCCUUUGUUGGCCCCCGUCCUUGGCACGUACCAGCCCCGUACUCACCCAGAUGCCCGUAAUUGCAGGCCUCAUGCAGGGGUGUCCAGCCACAGUAGUCCCGAGGGUUCAGGGGGUGGCCCUG
rnacentral:lncRNA from 1 species